AUUCGUUUCAUCUUUCAGAAUAAUCUCAAUUUCAUUUCAUCAUUUAUUCAAACUUAUACAGUACAAUUGUUGCUAUUAUAUACAACCUGUACUUUACAAUUGUUGCUAUAAUAUGAAAGUUGUACAGUGCAAUUAUUGCUAUUAUAUAAAACUUAUACAGUACAAUUGUUGCUAUUAUAUACAACCUGUACUGUACAAUUGUUGCUAUAAUAUGAAAGUUGUACAGUACAAUUAUUGCUAUUAUAUAAAAAAUGUACUGUACAAUUGUUGCUAUGAUAUGAAACUUGUACAGUACAAUUGUUGCUAUGAUACAAAACUUGUACUCACAAUUGUUGCUAUUAUAUUAAACUUGUAAUUUACAUUUGUUGCUAUUAUACAAAACUUGUACAGUACAAUUGUUGCUAUAAAAUAAUGACACUUUUAUAUUCCACUGCCUGUCUUAUACCCAUGGUGCCUGGUACUAUUUUUUUAUAAAUUGUAUAAUUUUUGCUACUUUUACAUAUACAUUUCAUUUCUGUUGACGUUUUUUAUGCAAUCUAAUAACUUAAAUAUCCAAAAUUUGAUGUCAAAUAAAACAUAUCCAAUCAUAUGUAUUUCCCAUUGUAAGAAACUUACCCAAAACAGAACUGUAUAAAAUAUGCCAGAUUUUUAGUAACAGGCAUCCACACAUAUAUAUUUUUCAAUCAAUAAAUAUCCUAUCAAUUCUAAAUCGAAGAUUUUUUUUGGUAAAGAUUUGAUUUACUGAUAGAUAUAAUAUUUCAACAAUUUUUUUGUAAAUUGCUGUAUAUAGUUACUAACUACGCACAUAAAUAUUAACGUCUUAAGAUAUAUCAAUAAAAUUGUAACAAUUUAUAUACAUUUUAGGAUUUAGUGCAAUAAGGUUAAAGAUUCUGCUUAAAGCAUUAUUAUACCUGCAUCAACGGCAUCAGGUUAAAUAUAGUGUUCACUUACUGUGAAUUCAUUAAUGUUCAUUGGAUAAUAAUUUUCGUGGAUUUUGUGGGUAGAGGGGAACCGCAAAUUUAAAUGCUCAACGAAAUUACAAAUGUUUUUAAGCAAUAAAUGCAGACUUUGUCAAAUCCAUGAAAUAGAAAAUCGGCGAACCACGAAAAAUUGGUAUCCACAAAAAUGAAUGAAUCCACAGUAUAUCUGUUAAAGUCACCCUCCAUUAGUUUGUAUAUGUGUCCUUUAUGACUGUGUCAUUUAUUUAAUCUUAAAUUCCCAUCUAAAACUACUUUAAAAAUUGGUACAAUUGUAAUAGAAACAAACUGUGCUCUAAUAUAAAUUCAUCUGCCUAUAUAUUAUUUUUUAAUCAGCCAAAGGUGUGUCACUUUGUACAUUCUGGAUGCAGUUUAAAAUCAAAUUUAGAAAGGAAUUAAAUAAUCAAACUUAAGAAUCACAAUAAUAUUAGAAAAAUACAGAAUUGUUUCUGUAAAGUUAUAUCAACAAGUUUCUUACUGAAAAUUGCUGAAAGAAUUUCAGCCAAACACUCAGCAAUUCUUCUCUUCGUAUUAAAAAUAUGCAUCACCUACUGUAAGAGAUGUCAUAUUUUUGAUUUUUGCAAAAAUCAAAACUUGCAUUUUAAAUAUUUUUACGCAUUAUUAUGCUUUUUACAGGAGUUGGUAUAAGUAUGCAGCAUUUCUCCAAAAUUUUGUAUCCAGUUUUUGGCCAUUAUUUGCAUUUAGUAUUCAUAUUACUCCAUGGGAUAGGAGUAGACAUGCAUUUCAGAUGAAACUUGUAGAAUAACAUUGGCCAUUUAUCAAGAAUUUUAUUAUGGAAAUUAUUUAUUUAUACCAAUGGAAAGAAUAUCUGUUUGAUAAGAUUGCAGUUGCAUUAUGCAUUCCUUCAAAUUACAAAUAUAUAUACAUAUACCCAAUUUUCAGUUGGUAUAUUUUGACUGUUGAAUGAGUUACUAGCGAAACUACUGGUUGGAAUUGUAAUUACAAGGUCCACGUUAUAGUUAUUUGACUUUAGAGUUACCAACUUAAAAUACCUCUAUUAAUUUUUAAAUCAAAAGCGGUCACUUUUUAUAAAUGGUCCAGCAAAGAUAAGAAUUUUUCUAAUCAGCUGGCAUUAGAAUAGAUGUUUACCAAGACUUUUUUGCAAAAUAUGUUUAUUUUGAUUUUGUGUCAAACUUAUCUUUAAGAUACUUUCUAGCGUGCAUACAAAUGUUUAUGUUUAAUAUUAUAUAGUAAACAGUGUUUUACAUCUAAGCUAUAAUUAAUUUAUGUCUUAUUUUAUGAUUUGACGAAGGCUUUGAAGACCUGUUGGUGACCUUCUGCUGUUGUUUUUUUUCUAUGGUCGGGUUGUUGUCUCUUUGGCACAUUCCCCAUUUCCAUUCUCAAUUUUAUUUGAUGUUUUGUUGAGGUAUUUAUAAAUAUGAUAAAAUGAAGAAAAGAUAACAUGUCUGUCAGAUAUUUUCUAAAUUAUAUGUUUCAUGCAUUUGCAAGCUUUGUCAUGGAAAGCUGAAAAAGAAUAAAAUUUCGUACCAACAUUUAAUAAAUAAUAUAUCCAAGCAAGUACCCUUUGCUCUGCUUCCUUUUUCUAAAAGUAUAAUAUAUAUGUUACAAAAAUCAACUAAUUAUUACUAUUCAAAUGCUUCCAGUUUAUCUCAUUAAUAUUUGCAAAUACAUGUAAUGAAUGCACUCACGUUUAAUUAUGUGGCUAUCUUGGAGAAAGGAAAGAAAUAAAACUAUUAAAAAUAU
rnacentral:lncRNA from 1 species